AUUGAACGCUGGCGGCAGGCCUAACACAUGCAAGUCGAACGAGUGGCGGACGGGUGAGUAAUGUCUGGGAAACUGCCUGAUGGAGGGGGAUAACUACUGGAAACGGUAGCUAAUACCGCAUACCAUCAGAUGUGCCCAGAUGGGAAUAGCUUGUUGGUGGGGUAAAGGCUCACCAAGGAGACGAUCCCGAGCUGGGCUGAGAGGAUGACCAGCAACACAGGAACUGAGACACGGUCCAGACACCGACGGGAGGCAGAGGUGGGGAAUAUUGCACAAGGGGCGCGAGCCUGAUGCAGCCAUGCAGGGAGUAUGAAGAAGGCCAUCGGGUUGAAAAGUACGUUCAGCGGGAGGCGUUACCCGCAGAAGAAGCACCGGCUAACUCCGUGCCAGCAGCCGCGGUAAUAC
rnacentral:rRNA from 1 species